rnacentral:rRNA from 1 species
GACGAACGCUGGCGGCGUGCCUAAUACAUGCAAGUCGAACGAGAGCGACCGGUGCUUGCACUGGUCAAUCUAGUGGCGAACGGGUGAGUAACACGUGGGUAACCUGCCCAUCAGAGGGGGAUAACAUCCGGAAACGGAUGCUAAAACCGCAUAGGUCUUCGAGCCGCAUGGCUUGAAGAGGAAAAGAGGCGCAAGCUUCUGCUGAUGGAUGGACCCGCGGUGCAUUAGCUAGUUGGUGAGGUAACGGCUCACCAAGGCCGUGAUGCAUAGCCGACCUGAGAGGGUGAUCGGCCACAUUGGGACUGAGACACGGCCCAAACUCCUACGGGAGGCAGCAGUAGGGAAUCUUCCGCAAUGGACGCAAGUCUGACGGAGCAACGCCGCGUGAGUGAAGAAGGUUUUCGGAUCGUAAAACUCUGUUGUUAGAGAAAAACAAGUGCUAGAGUAACUGUUAGCGCCUUGACGGUAUCUAACCAGAAAGCCACGGCUAACUACGUG